CACAAAUAAUUGUAUUGCACUUCGUUUUGGGAGAUUAAAUAGGUUACAUUUUAGUCCUCCCACCACCUCUUUUUCUCUGAGCUGUGAAACGAGGAACACGUGUAUGGGGCGUGGCCACUGGUGGGAAGCAGGUAGUUUUGUGCUGCUUUACCUCUCCCAACAUUCGUCUCUCACUUGCAUGAGGAACUAAGGUGUGCCAGAUGACAGGGAACAAACUAGCCCAUUAGCAAGGACAGAAAAUGGUGGAGGGCACCAGCAAAAGUGGGGAAAGAAGGCUGGAUAAUCCAGAAGUACCCUCUGAUUGUCGGUGUUCUCGACUCAGAAUUGGCUUCUUCAUACUUGUAGUUUCAGUCAUGUUAGUCAUCUGCUAUAUGAACUUAACAGAAAUGGCAGACAUUUGGUCUGAGACAAUUCAAAGGAUAUACAACACAACAUACAACAGUCCAAGAGUAGCUGCAAAAUUUACUAAGGGUGCAUCACCUUUAGAAUGGACAUCUGCCUUUAUUUCAGAAAGUAAGGCAACUGUCUCAUCUUCUGCAUUACCAGGUGAGCAGUGUACACCUGAAACUACAUAUCUUGUGGCAUAUCCCUGUAAAUAUCAUUUCACUUUAAACGAAUCAGAGAGGUGUCAGAAUGAAAAGCCAUUCUUGGUCUUGAUGGUGCCUGUGGCACCAAACAACAGGGAAGCUCGUAAUGCCGUCCGAACCACCUGGGGUUCUGAGAAGAUGGUUAUGAACAAAGUCGUGAGCCUUUUCUUCAUACUUGGUCAGCCUGGACCUGAAGGGAGAGAGGAGCUCCAGCAGAAGAUCUUGCAUGAGAGCGAGGAACACCAUGACAUCAUUCAGAGCGAUUUUCUGGACAGCUAUAAAAAUCUCACCAUCAAAACUAUGCUGAUUAUGGACUGGCUGACAACCUACUGUCAAAACGCGUCCUACGCCAUGAAGAUCGACUCUGACAUGUUCCUAAACGUGGAUGUCUUAAUGAAUACACUUAUCCAUGCACCCAGGGAGAACUACAUGACAGGACUUGUAGCCAAAGGGGCUAUUGUUCUAAGAAACCCCAACUCUAAAUGGUAUCUGCCAAAAGAUGUGUUUCCUGAAGACUUUUAUCCGCCUUAUGCUCUGGGCUUGGGGUACGUGCUUUCCUUGGACCUUCCUGAAAAGCUCCUUGAAGGCUCCAUGCAUGUCACACCUGUUUACAUUGAAGAUGUAUUUUUAGGACUGUGCAUGAGGUAUAUGGGAAUACAGUACACUAGUCAGGCUGACCAGAGCCUCUUCAAUGUCUUCCCUGUUCCUUACAACCGCUGUCGUUACUCAAAACUCAUUGCUACAACAACAAAUAGCUUACAGCAUCAAGUUAACUCUUGGAAAGACCUUAAGAAACCAGGACCAGCUUGUUAACCUUGGAUGAGUACAUAUAGUGAUUCAGAGCGUAUGUACGGACGAAUUGAGAUGGAUUGUAAGAAGAUGAAUGUGCAAUCUAAAGUGUACACAGGAAACAAAUCUUCAGGGUUUGUGCAAGAAAGGAACAGAAAAGACGGUGCUGAUUGUUUACGCACACCAGAGUCCUAAAUCUUUUAACUGUGCGGUGAAGGAUGCGGCUGUGAAGGUUUUCACCGAUCAGGGCUGUAAGGUGACCGUGUCGGAUCUCUACGCCAUGAAUUUCCGAGCUGUGGCCACAGCGGAUGAUGUGAAAGUAUUUGCUUUUCCGGUUUUGACCUUUUGCCUGCCUUCCCGUUUCUGAUUCUGCCUGCUGUUUAUUAAUACAUCUGCAUAUGGAUUCUACCUCUCACGCCUCCAGCUCGUCGUUACAGAAUACUUCGCCCGAUAUGAAUCCAGCGGAUAUGAGAGCGGCUUUGACGCUUAUCAGACGGAAGUGGAUUCGCUGAGAGCCGCUAAUGAACAGCUUCAGCAACAGCCUACCACGCCAAGGCCCAGUACUCGAGUUAUAGUGAUGGGAAGUUCGGAUCAUUUUACUGAUUCGGGUCUUUGAAUCGCGUUCUGCAAAAUGAACGAAUCUUUUCGUUCACUUCAGCAGAAUGCAAUUAAAAAGUUACAUGUUAAUUCCCUAACACAUCUACCUACGCACAUAUUGAUCACAUGUCGAAUAAGAGAAAAGUGUCAUAUUAUAAGUAAUAGCUUACC